rnacentral:tRNA from 1 species
AAAGGAGACCUACCCACUCAAAUAUCGAAAGCAAUUUGUAAAUAGAUAUUGAGUUGGUCAUCCUAUAGGUCGGUCGCGACAGUUGUGAACUUUCUUUCAAACUAUAUUUUGGUUCGUAAUUGGGCUAUUAGCUCAGGUGGUUAGAGCGCACCCCUGAUAAGGGUGAGGUCCCUGGUUCGAGUCCAGGAUGGCCCACCUGAAAAAAGUUAAAAGGGAUAAGUUUAAAGGAAUUUGAAAGAAUUAUUUCUUUUGCCUUUUGCCUUGGAACUUUUUACUUGAAUUUGGGGGUUUAGCUCAGUUGGUAGAGCGCCUGCUUUGCAAGCAGGAUGUCAGCGGUUCGAGUCCGCUAACCUCCACAAUAGUCUAUAGGAGUGAGAAAAAUUCAGCAACUGAGCAUAGAUAAAUGUGCCAGACUGCUGGAUAUAUUUCCAGCAAUAGAACCUUGAAAACUGCAUAGUGAAGCAAAUAAGCAGGCAGACACACACAGACAUUAUUUUGAGUCGUGUUUGCAUACCAAUUGUUAUUUUG